rnacentral:rRNA from 1 species
GAUGAACGCUAGCUACAGGCUUAACACAUGCAAGUCGAGGGGAAACGACAUCGAAAGCUUGCUUUUGAUGGGCGUCGACCGGCGCACGGGUGAGUAACGCGUAUCCAACCUGCCCAUCACUUGGGAAUAACCUUGCGAAAGUAAGACUAAUACCCAAUGACAUCCCACGAAGACAUCUGAAUGGGAUUAAAGAUUUAUCGGUGAUGGAUGGGGAUGCGUCUGAUUAGCUUGUUGGCGGGGUAACGGCCCACCAAGGCAACGAUCAGUAGGGGUUCUGAGAGGAAGGCCCCCCACAUUGGAACGUGGACCCGGCCCAAACUCCUACGGGAGGCAGAAGUGAGGAAUAUUGGUCAAGGGGCGAGGGCCUGAACCAGCCAAGUAGCGUGCAGGAUGACGGCCCUAUGGGUUGUAAACUGCUUUUAUAAGGGAAUAAAGGGGGUCCCGUGAGACUUUUUGCAUGUCCCUUAUAAAUAAGGACCGGCUAAUUCCGU